AUUGAACGCUGGCGGCAGGCCUAACACAUGCAAGUCGAACGGUAACAGGAAGAGGCUUCCUCCCUUGCUUACGAGUGGCGGGCGGGUGAGACAUGUCUGUGAAACUGCUUGAUGGCGGGGGUAAACUACUGGAACCGGUAGCUAUUACCGCAUAACGUCUCAAGCGCAAAGAGCAGUACCUUCGGGCCUUUUUCCUUUGGCUUUGCCCAGAUGGGAUUAGCUAGUAGGUGGGGUAACGGCUUACCAAGGCGACGAUCCCUAGCUGGUCUGAGAGGAUGACCAGCCACACUGGAACUGAGACACGGUCCAGACUCCUACGGGAGGCAGCAGUGGGGAAUAUUGCACAAUGGGCGAAAGCCUGAUGCAGCCAUGCCGCGUGUAUGAAGAAGGCCUUCGGGUUGUAAAGUACUUUCAGCGGGGAGGAAGGGAGUAAAGUUAAUACCUUUACUCAUUGACGUUACCCGCAGAAGAAGCACCGGCUAACUCCGUG
rnacentral:rRNA from 1 species